rnacentral:tRNA from 1 species
AAAGGGAGACCUAAUUCAGGUAAAAGACGAAAAAAAAGUAGUCGCUACCAAGAAUCAAUCCCAAAAGGUCGGAGCGAGGCGAAAUUGGCUUUCAAACUAGGUUCUGGGUUCAAACAAGACCUGAAUCAGGAACAAGGGCUAUUAGCUCAGGUGGUUAGAGCGCACCCCUGAUAAGGGUGAGGUCCCUGGUUCGAGUCCAGGAUGGCCCACCUGCACAGGUGGCAAAAACAAGAGAAGCUCCGAAUCAGCACCUUAUCUUACUUAUAUAGUAAGAGAGAAUGCUGGCUCUGAGUAAAGAGUCCAGAGGAACCUUGAAAACUGCAUAGAGCUAGGUGAAAAAGCCAAAAAAGAAGACCGCAAG